ensembl:lncRNA
CGCCGUCACAGCACGGUCGCGGCGCGGUCCCCGCAUCGGGACGCCGAGACGAUCCCGCAACAAGGCGAGGAGGAGAAGCGCACAGCGAGUGCUUAAAGUGUCAUUUAAGUCCGUAAUUCAGAUCUAGAGUCCACGCGUCUACCUGUCAAAGCCCCCGGCCCGCCCUAACGAGGCCCAUCUGUGCUAAUGACACAACGACCCCCAGGUGCCGGGCACAGCUGCGCCUCGUCCGGAGCCGAGCGCAACGCUCGCCCCAAAGCCUCUUAAGCUCCUCCGGGGGCUACCGGGAGCCACGAGGGCGCUCUGCGCAGUCCCUCGCCGGGAGGCGAUGGAGGAGGUUGUGGGGUGCUGUUCCUCUGCCCGAGGCGCUGCUGGGGCUGCGAGGGGCUGCUUGGAAGCCGAAACCUCGGGGUUCUGUUUAACGUUGUCUGUUGCGUUUGGUUCUUUUAUUCAGGCUGCAGGAGGGCGUCGGGAUCCGCCCCGGCCGGUGAGCCGUACCGAUAGCGAUGGAGGUGGUGAGCGCUCGGCGGUCCUUGGGGGGCUUUCCGCCUGGGGUGAGAGGCUGCCGGGCCCUCACCGUGCUCUUUUUGGGGCCGGCGUAGAGCUACCGCUGGGCUCCCUCGACUUUUCAGAGCCGGGAUUGCAGCGCUGCCUGCUUUCUGUUGUAUUUGGUUUGCUUUUUUCCCUCCACAACCCUCCUUUUUUUUUUUAUAGUGAGUGCUUCAGUUUGUUCUGCUCUCAUCAGCGGGAGUGAGCGAGACGGGGCUGUGCUUCUGCGGCCUCGGCACUGCUGGGAGAGAGGAGCAACACGAAGGGCUGCUAAAACCAGGUGUUCUCCUACUGCAGCUGCAGCAGAGCCUCUCUUCAUCCCAAACCAGCGAGGUUGUGGAAGUGUUGAGAGUUUAGGAGUCAGUAGAAGGACAAUCCAGCAGGGUGAUGGAGUUGCUUUUCAGGUGAGAGAGCUGGAAAGGAUUGAGCCCUGCCUAGGGAUGAAUGAACAACUAGAGGAGUGCUUGUGAGGUAGGUAAAGGUGAGUAACAUCCUUGGGGGUGUUGGUUACAGACCAGGAUGAGGAAGAGGAUAAGACCUUCUGCGCACAGCUGUGGGCAUUAGUUGUUCUCAGGGUAGGCUGAACCACCCUAUCAGCUGUUGGGGAAGCAAGGCUGCCAGGCUUGGUUAUUCCAGGAGGUUCUUGCAAUGUGUCAAAGGUAAAACUUAGGACACAAGAGACGGAGGAGCUUGCUCUCCCUACAGAGGGAGGCUCAGCUGGAGGUGGCCGCUCUGAGAUGGUGCAGUUCAGGAUCUGGUGUGGAAGAAGCAAAGCAGUAAGUAGGGUUGAGAUAUUGGAUUUUCAGGAAGCCUGGUUUGUCCUCUGAAAGGAUCUACUUGGAGGUAUCCGUGCAGUUGGAACGUCAGAAGAGGUCCUGUGGGCGGUUGUUGUUUCAAGCAAUUUAUUUGCGCUCAGGAGGGGCGCUCUUAGGAGAGUAAGAAAAGGAGCAGAAAUAGCGGGGGAGCUUCAUGGGAAAAUGGGGCUUGCAGAAGAACUUGAAAGCGAGAAGGAAGAGAUUAGGAUGAGGAAGGCUAAAGCCUACUUAGUUUCUUCUUUGGGGGGGGGGAAGAUCAAGGAUAACAGAAGUUAGCAAGUUUGUGAACAGCAAGGAGGAGAGUAGGGUGGGUCCUCUGCCUCAUCAGGCAGGGGCUGGAAUGCCUUCUUUGUUGCAGCUGAGGAUGCUCCUUGACGAUCCUGGAUCCCAGAGGAAAGCGUCUUUGAGGAAGGAUGCCUUCCUGAUUGCAGAGGAGGCGGCAAAGAUCACGUGGACAAAAUUGGUGCCCCCCAGGAAAGUUGUGUGAGGACGGGAGGAUAGCCAGCAUCACGGCAGCCUUCAAGAAGGGUGUCAUUUCCAAGGAACUUGAAGAGUUUGCUAUGAAGCAGUCAAGGUGGCAUCACUGAGGGGAAAUUGUGCUGCUCCAACCUGGGAGCGUCUGCUCAGAGAAGAGCAGGGGAUGCUGCAAGCCUGACUUCAGUGUUUCUGUUGGUGUUUUUGUAAUGAAGCUUAACAAGUGUGAGAUGGUGACCUGGAUGAAGGGAGAGUCUCUAAUGUCGGUGAGUGAGCGGAUGAUGCGAAGCUGGGAGGAGCAGUGACAUUCAGCGGGACCCCAUAAACUGUGGAGAGCAGGUCAAGCAGAGGGGAAAGCUGUACAUGGGGUCUAAUGGAGGGCAAUGAAGAUGAUGAGGGGCCUGGAGCAUCUCUCUGUGGAGGACUGGAUGAGGACCCUACAGCUGUUUGAUGAAGAGAAGGAUGGAGGCUGCAAAGGAGAUUUUUUUUUGGCAAGGAUCUGCCUGAACAUGAGUGGUGGAAUGGAGGAGGUAAGAGCCCUCAGCUGUGUUGUGUAGGUGUGGAGGCUCCUUUGUCAGAGGUUUGGUGCUGGAACAAGGAUUGCUGUGUGACUGCCUCUCCAGAGGGAGGUGUUUUUCCAGUGGAGUGGAAUUGAUGGAGCAUUCAGAAGUGGUGCCUUUUGGUGGAGCUUCACUUGGGCUGUAGCAGAGGAAUUGGAGCUGACUUAACAGGUUGUCUUCUUCAGCACUAUGGUGUGUCAGACUUGCUUGACUCACCAAAUGAAACCAGUACUUUUCCAGUGUUUGCAUUGUUGCAGCGGAAUUCCUGGAGAGAAGCGUUGCUUGAGUUUGGAAGGGCUUCUCGAGUGUGAAGGUAGGAGUGCUGUCCUGAGAGCUGAGCGGUGUUGACUCUUGCAAAAAGAUGGUUUCCUUUUUUCAGAUAGGUAAGUCAAACCACUGUCAGCAAACCAAUGGAGAAACCAGAGACUAGUGCAUCUCUACAGUACCCUUUGGGUUAAGUUAGGAAUCAGAAAGCAGCCUGGGUUGGAAGGAACCUGUGUCUCUAAGCUCUGCACUGCUCUGCCUCAACUUCAGUUGCAUCUCUGAGUCUCACAAAGCCUGGGGAUGACCAGUGUCAAUGACAGUUUGCAUUCUGGUUCUACUCAAUUUUCACAUUUUCAGAUUCAAAGUAACAAUUUCUACACUAGGAGGAACUUAGCUGUAACACCUGGGCACAAAUUACACCUUUGGAGACAAACUUCAAGAUUUGCAAACUUCAAGAUUUGUUUCCUGUAGGUACAGGCCUGAAUCAAACACCCCUUCUGUGUCACGUUGCAUCCUGUUUCCCAAGGUUUCCAGGUGACUCAAACAUUUUUAUCUUCAUUUUUACUGCAGAGUCAGCAGUUAGUUAAUACAUGAACUGAAAUAAAACAAAAAACAACCACCAACUGGAGGGGAAGGCAGAAAACACUCUUGCUGUGAAACAGGCUCCAGGCCAAGAUUGGUUCCCUCUGCUUGGUCCAGUUACAGUUCAGAGGCUCAUUCCUUGGAAGCAAAAUCUUAUAAGUAAACAUGGAGCUGAGCCUCUCUCUGCCCUUUAUCCCCUCCCACGAAGCCUAUUUUUUUUUUAUCCCAUUCAACUCAAAGGCACCCUCAGAACACUGGACUAAAUCUGCCUACAAACUGAGUCCUGUAAUAAAAUAAAUCUAACUCUGGUCACAUUAAAAUACAUCACAGACCUUCAAAGGAAUAGUGCUAGGCUGCCUAAUGAAAAAUAGAGUGCUUCAAGUGAGAUAAACCAACAUUCUGACCGUAAGCAAGAACAAACUGGGAUCGGGUGUCACAGGAUAUUCCUUCUCUCUGGGUUUUUGCAUAUUAACCAGCAGACAGAUUUGUGGAAGAUGACUUAUUGCUCUCAGUUUUACCACAAGGAAAAUACAUAAUGUUUCUAGCUGAUCGGUAACAUGAAGUUCAACUCUGUCCCAGUACGUUCAUGCAUGGCCUAACAAGUGAAAUUACUUAAAAGAGAGCCCUCGGUGUCAAAAAAGGCUUUACAAAAAUGACUCAGGGAUUUUUCAGCUACUUGCCCUUACUGAGUGCAGAGCCCUCUGUCCCUCUAAGCUUUAGCAGCUCUGUAUGACUAUUAUUGAAUGGGAACCUCCAUUAUCUCAGUGCUGACUGAGGUACCAAUGCCCAUUGGGGUGACUGAGGGAAAGGGCAGUGAGUGUUUGCUUUGGCUGCUUAGCCAAGCUAGACUUAUGUUAUGCAUCCUGAUUUAAAUGUAAUGUGGAGAUGUAACAUGGAUGCCCCAUCCCUGGAGGCAUUCAAGGCCAGGCUGGAUGUGGCUCUGGGCAGUGUGGUCUGGUGGUUGGUGACCCUAUGCAUAGCAGGGGGGUUGGAACUAGAUGAGCAUUGUGGUCCUUUGCAACCCAGACCAUUCUAUGACAAGUGAAUCAGACUUUAAACAGAGGAAAAUAAAAAAGAGGAAAGCAUAGAUGUCACGUACAAACAUCUGAGAAAAUAUCUCAGAAUUGACAAAAACAAAAAAAAUAAUCUGAGCAAAAGUUAACAUUUGCUCCUUUUUAUUUUGAGCAAUGUUAAAUAUAGUUUCCCUGCACUUUGCAGUGUCAGCUAACAGCCUGCUAUAUCCUUAGCUCAGCCAUAGCUGGAAGGAUCAGUCCCUUUACAGACACCCACACAGUCCAUCUUUCCCCGCCCCAUUGGCCACCAGUUCACACACACAAGGAAUCAUCCAGUAGGUACAAUGGCCAGUCACCGCUGCAGCUGUUGCUGUGCCUUUGAAGGAAACACAAAGUUACUGCUUGUCUUUCUUCCCCUCUCUCCUUUCUGAAGGCUUCUAGGCUGUAAGCGUGCAGGAGAAAACUGGAACUGCUUAGGCCUCCCUUGCAACAGUUUGGUUUCUGAACAAAGUUAUGAAACUAAGAGAAGAUACGGGCUUCUUCAUCAACUUUUUUAAAACACCAAAGAAAAAUCAUGUUUAAAGGUGAUGCUAUUAGCCGAAGACAACAGAAAAAGGGUGGCAACUUUCCCUAUAGAGAGCUCAAGAUGUGUGUGUCGUCAAUGCUUCCGGGACCCCUCCUGGGCUUCAGCAAGCACGCAGGCCAUGGCUAACAUUUCCAACCCUGAAACCCAGCCCUCCAAGAAAAGAGUAAAUCAAAAUACAUAACAUAGGGUGAUGCAGGGCUACUUCUUUCAUUUCAUCUUCACAGCACAGAGCUCUCUCUGCAAGACAGAUACGCAAGUGUAUUAAGCCCACUGACACCUCUCCAAAAGCUUAUUUGCUGGCUAAUUAGACAGUUGAAAAGAUCAACAGGUCGAUGGAAUUGAGAUAACGCUAUCCAAUGUAAUUACUACAAUUGCAAUAUUUUAGGAAUUGAAGAACAACUCCAUUCGACCUAUGCCAAAAAGCCUAUAUACAGAAGUCCGUACUUAGGUGGUUAUUUUUCUCUAUCGGUUCAUAAUUGCCUUCUGUUUUUAAUCACAGCUUCUUUCUCCAACUGUUGCAAAGAUGGCACUGUUGUUUUUUCCUGCGUAGCCUGAAGUCCCCAGUGGCUACAGUCCACUUCUCUCCACCGCUGACGUUUAAGGUGCUGACAGCCCCCAAGCGCCCGAGGGAUCCUGCUGUCUUCGGCAAGGUCUCAUUUCAUUUAAUUUCAUAUUUAAAGCUUCCGUGACCUUUUUGAACAUGUAAAUGAUAAAAAUACUUUCACACACGGAUGUAUCGAGCGCCACGUCCACCUAGGCUUGUUAAUAAACCUCGUUGCUCUGUUUCUGCUGGCCCGUGGCUAUAUUAGCUGUCUGCUCGCCUUAUUUGUGAGAUAUAAAUAGCCAGGGACUGCACACUCGCUGUCUAGUUACAUCGAGAUAACAGUGAUUUUAAUACUCUUAAACAAGCCUGUCUCCUGACGUGGGUCUGUCCAGAACGCUCACUCUUACCUAUCUUCCUUCUUCGUGUUUGAGUGGGAGAUUCGUAAGCAAAAUCUCUCAGCCACCAAACAUGCCAAUAGAAAACAAAAGGGCCACUGAAGGGCGUUUUUGCACUGUUCACACGCUGCUGUUGGAAAGUAAUUCUCCAUACCAUUUCUUAUGUUUGGGCUCAAUAACAUUUCAUACCCGUACCGCACAGUGGUUCUGACCCAGUCACGCUGCAUUGGCCUGAAUCAGAAAGUCCCAGACUCAUCUCAGGGCUAUGCUGUAUCAUUCUUACUGCAAAUUGAAGAUAGCUGGUACUCCCUUCCCAAAAGGCCUCGAGCCUCAGCACAGUAAUGCCUUACAGUGAAAGUAAAGCAGAGAGAGGCAGAGAACUACACUCAGUAAGGGAUUGAACUAACAACAGAAUUUAAACAGGAUUUAGGUGAGGAUUGGCAUCUAAAUACACAGUUGUGAGCUAAAGACCCUUGGCUCUCAGGGCACCUCCUUCUGUGACCGAAAAGGUCUCUAGGGCCGCUGUGAGGGUACAGAGGGAGAACUGCAUCCUGGCUUCCCAGCAUCUAUUUUUCUGCUGAACUAAGUGCACGUGCCCUGUAAGGCACGCCCAGAGCACGCUGGACACCCUGCCUUAGCCCCGGGUCGCGCCACUUGUUCGGGUAUCGUUUGGGUAACCGAUCUUUCAGUGCUAAAUGCCGACUACAGCAUCCUCAGAGAGAAGCUCUCUCUCUUGGAGAAGCUGAUAGCCCUAAGCACAGCAUUACAGAGCGCUGAGAGUCCCCCACAGGAACAUGCUGCCCCUGGAGGACGGCUAGUCUAGUCAGGACCUAAUGCAAACCAUGGGAGUACAGGUAUCUGUGGAAUAACAUACCAGUUUGACUGUGUAUAAAAUGAGAUACAAUGAGUAAGUUCAUCAAGGAAAUUAUAGCCUCUGGAGAAAUCCUUUACAAUAGCUGCGAUGAGUAACAUCUCACUCCAUGACUCUGUUGACUUCCAUCUUCCCCUAUAGUUACAUGGAUUACCCUGGAAGCAAUGCCUCCUCUUUAUUUCUGCAGAAACUACAGUGAAUAAAAAGAGCACAAGAACACUAUUUGAUAGUGUUUUGUGGCUGAGAACUUGCUCUGCUUUUCAACAUAGUCACCGCUGCUAGCUAUAGACUUUGUCGCAUGGCUAUAUCUAAGUAUGCACGCAUUAUUACGUACUUGUGAAAACUUUUCCACAUAGCUGUGCUGUAAUUUGCAUCCACAUCUUACACUUACAUCCGUAAGAGGACUUCUGCCGGGCACGGGUGAGCACCGUUGGACUAUACAAUGCUUGAUAGCUGGGGGCAACAGUGCAGUGGCUACAACAGAGAAGUGAGGUGCAGCAGCGGAUGCAGAAAAGAAAGAAACUCCUUACCUUUACAAGACCUGUAAAAUCCUCAAGGGGUGCAGAGAGCUCUAGAAGACAGUCUUUCUCCUCCCCCUGCUGGCCCUUAAAUGAGGUCUGGGAAGGGGUGGAUCCUGGCUCCACCCCUUCUAAUUGGCCGCAUUGCGUUCACCUGGGUUGGCCCUGGGUUGGCCCUGCCUUCCACCAGGUGCUCAAUCACUGCUUCGGACCAUGACUUGACGUCUCUUAUGCAGACAUCAAUAAAAUCUCUGACUUGAUUUUUGGCUGCGUAAGAAACUGUACGUCAGAGUCAUGGUUUUCUUCCAGUUCCUCUCUACUGAGUUCACUGCUUCUUCUUUACUUGUUAUUCAGUGCUUGCUGUCUUCCCAUCAGCAGCCGUCCACCUUCGAAGCGAUUGGUGUCAGAUGUCAUUUCUCAUGGCCGGUUUCCCUGGCUUUCACCAAUGCAAACUGCUGUACAACAUUUGCACUUUGGAGCGGUUCGAAGCAGUGAUUUCCAUUUUCAUACCCUCGUGCGCUUCGUUCAGUUAUUUCUUCUGCAGUACUUGUUGCCCUCCUUGCACUGAAAAAAAAAGUGAAGCAGAACUUCGAUUAGGUCUAUGCGAGUUAUCCUCCAGCCUGUAAAAUAGCCUUCCUGCACCAUAAUCCAUUUUCUUUGCUUCUGAUAGCUAUCUGUCUAAACAUGUCCUUGCUGUUUGUAUUAAAGUCCGUGCCCACGUGCCCAACGCUUUCUGAAAAGUGACUUCCGUUCUCAUUUUGUUUCCUUACGUAAUGGCGCCUACCAUCCAUUCCUCGAAAGCUAUGCUUUUUCUCCAUGCUACUUACUAACAUAAUCGUCCUUCCGGCCAGCUGAGGAACCUUCCCUGGCACUCUGUGGACGCACGGUUUGCCACUCAGGUUUUUCACAGGGUGCAUAAUCGUGGUGUAAUUCCUGUGUUUCGUGACUCACAGCACGCUCUAAACUGAAGUAACUCAGCAGGCUUCAAGAGAAGCACGGUUUUAUGGUCAGUCAGGUCCGACUAAACUGUUGCGUGCAUUUCAGAGCAUCCUACAGAAUAUUUGUAUUGUAUUCUAAAGAAUACAAGUAAUAUACCUAUUAGCCUGCCCAGAAACAUUCCUGGGGCAGCUGGGGAGAAAAACAGUGACGUGCCGUUUAGUGGCCUUGAAGCGGGAUGCGCGCAAAGGUCUCCUCUGGGGGGUAUCAAACGCAAGGAUAUAGUAUUGCAUUUAUUGUUCGGCUCAGAUCUCCAUUGGCCUGAGGUUCUUGACUCACGUAUGUUUGCACGAGCGGGUUUUUCACGAGCCUAUUCCUGCCUGCCCAGAUAUUUUUCCGUGGCACGUCAUAUUCUUUUGUUUUCCCCCGCUCAGAAGUGAAGUCUCUGUCAGCAGGGCUCUUCCUGUCUUUCUCGCCAGCUGCCUUCAAACAGAGAUUUUAACCGAUACUUCAGACGUUCAGGGUGGGUAUUCCCUUUCUCAUCCCUCUGGAAACUCGCCGAAGCCGCCGCUGUUUUAUUUGCCGAUACUGGAGGCCUAUUUUUAGAGCCAGAGCUCAAGGUGUGUCUAAACCAGGCCUUAAAUUUUUGGACCGAUCUUGACAGCUCGUUGUUAA